rnacentral:rRNA from 1 species
UGGUGGAGUGAUUUGUCUGGUUAAUUCCGUUAACGAACGAGACCUCGACCUGCUAAAUAGGUGGACAAACCUCCAGUUCGUAUCACACUUCUUAGAGGGACUAUCUGUGUGUAGCGGAUGGAAGUUCGAGGCAAUAACA